AACGUUUAUUAAAAUACAUAUAAUUCCCGGCUUGAAGUGCACGUGACAUUCCUGUUUUUCAUCAUUGCUGAAGACGGAAGUAAGUAAGUGUGUGACUCAAUGCUUUACAUAAGAACUCCAGUAUUAUCAACCUGUAACACCUUGUAAUUCAGAUCCAAUAUCUCUCUGAUGGCUGCUCUCGUUUGUGAUGAAUUCCUUUUUUAAACAUUUUAAUAAUUGCAAAAAAAUCUGGAAGAGUUUUUUUUUUUUUUAGAUAUGCAUCUUUUAGUUUUAAUUUGGUCCGAAUGACUCCUUUGGCUUUAAUAUGAAUAUUUCCCAUGUCUUUCAACUGCAAUUAUUGUUUAUUACUAACCCCCCAUCCCCAUUUCAGAAACGUCCAGCCGGCUCAUCAUCGGGGGGGAUUUGGGUUUGAUAACAAAUAACAAACACCAUCCAUGAAGAAUACCAGCGAGAGGCCUUUCCGUUCCGGUGUCGAAGGGUCACCUCGGGUCACCUCAGCUCCAAAGCAGGAGGCAGAGAUAUGAAAGUAUAUUUGUCUUUAUUAGCUAUGAGCACAUUUCUCACAUCCAAUCAAAUACCUAGUGUUUAAGUAAAAACGUAAGAGCUGUUUUGUAAAAUAAAAACCUACUUGCUCUAAAAAAAACAACCUUUGUCCUAAAAGAAAAAACACUUUGCUCUCAAAACGAAAACCCACAGUUUGAGUUUGGAUAUAGUGGGCGGGGCUGAACGAGCUGAAUGAGCCAGGAGUCUCUAUUGCUGAGCUCUACGUGGCGGUUGGCGCACUAACAUUAAGUGGUAAGUGGUAAGGUACGUUUACAUUAUAAAUUUGGCAGCACUUCACUUUCUUGUCGGGUUGCUAGUGUUGUGGAGUCUCUUUUUUUUAAAGAACGACAUGAGGGCUGCUGUGUCAACAUGAAGGUCUUCUGUUAGCCAAGAGCCAAACCCACCAACAGAACCGAUUGGCUCUUUCAGCAGAAUAUUCAGAUGUCCCGCCCACUUCAUUCAAACUCAUUUCAGAGGUUUUGGAUUUGAGAGCAACGUUUUUUUUAAGGAUUUUUUACAUUUUAUUUACACCCUUUUCUAUCUAGUGGCACUUUUACGCACCAGCAGGCGGACGACGUCAGUACAUUUGGGAUGAAAAAUGGAGCAGAAAGGUGAAUCAACAAAAGCCCAACAGGUCUGAAACCAGCAUGUUAAAAAGCCUCAUUGAAGAGGUGAAGCUUUGGUUAAACAGUUUUCACUGAUGCACGUAUGAAAAGAAAGGUUGUGUCGCCUCUAAUGCUGCCAAAUCCGGGUUGAGCCCCCGUGUCAGCGCGCUGGGA
ensembl:lncRNA